AGACAGAAACGUAAGAUGAGUGAUCAAGAAGGCUCAUGGCCUAGAGUAGUAACCUCCAUUGCACUGAGGAGGGGUGCUGCUCUAAGGUCUCCCCAAGUGGGAGAGCCUACGCCAUAAUUUGUUGCAGAGGGGGCUUGCGUUCGUGCAGCCCCCAC